rnacentral:rRNA from 1 species
UACGUAGGGUGCAAGCGUUAAUCGGAAUUACUGGGCGUAAAGGGUGCGUAGGUGGUUACGUAAGUUAGGUGUGAAAGUCCUGGGCUUAACCUGGGGAUUGCGCCUGAUACUGUGUAGCUAGAGUCCUGUAGAGGAAAGUGGAAUUUCCGGUGUAGCGGUGAAAUGCGUAGAUAUCGGAAGGAACAUCGGUGGCGAAGGCGACUUUCUGGACAGAGACUGACACUGAGGCACGAAAGCGUGGGGAGCAAACAGG